GACGAACGCUGGCGGCGUGCCUAAUACAUGCAAGUCGAACGCAGUGGGGACGGGUGAGUAACACGUGGGUAACCUCCCAUCAGAGGGGAUAACACUUGGAAACAGGUGCUAAACCGAUACUGAUGGCUGAACCCGGGGUGCAUUAGCUAGUUGGUGAGGUAACGGCUCACAAAGGCCACGAUGCAUAGCAGACCGUGUGGGGUGAUCGGACACACGGGGACGUAGACACGGCCCAGACGCCUACGGGAGGCAGCAGAAGGGAAUCUUCGGCAAUGGACGAAAGUCUGACCGAGCAACGCCGCGUGAGUGGAGAAGGUUUUCGGAUCGUAAAACUCUGUUGUUAGAGAAGCGGUAUCUAACCAGAAAGCCACGGCUAACUACGUGCCAGCCGCCGCGGUAAUAC
rnacentral:rRNA from 1 species